CAUUUAUGCACCACCCCACAGCACCCCUCAGGCCACCAUUUUAGCCCACCCAGCCGCAGCAGGCAGACCCCCCAGCACCAGGAGAACACCGCAGCCCCCAUGGAAGGACAACACCCACACAAAAAAGGUUAGAAAAACACACAGAGGGUGGCAGCCAAGGAGGGACACUGCAGGGGGACACAAUAAAGGCCGAGAGCCCAGGGGGACAUUCCAGGGGGACAAAAUAAAGGCCAAGAGCCCAAGGAGGAGGCAGCAGGAGAACAUAAUAAAGGCCAAGAGCCCGGGGGGAGUCCAGGGAAUAAAGAGAAAGGGCUCAAAAAUCACACACUACACAACAAACACAAGGGGUAUGACACACAAGCCCUGUUCCCUAAACCUAACCUUAACCAGGACCCCAAACAACACCCCUUUCUCCCCAAAAGCAGCCACAGGCAGCAGCCCUCCCCACAGCCAGAGGCAAUCACCCUGAAUGCUGAGCCCAUGCCAGCACCCUCCCCACAGCUGGAGCCCCAAUACCAAUACAAUGCCAGGACCACGCCAGGAGCCCGCCACACAAGGGACAACACACGCAGGCCAGAGACCAGCAGCUCCAGCUUGCCGUUCUAGCCUGCCGUUCCAGCUUGCCG